rnacentral:rRNA from 1 species
UCGCCCUUGGAGUUUGAUCCUGGCUCAGGUUGAACGGUAGCGGCAGGCUUAAUACAUGCAAGUCGAGGGCCAGCGCAGUGUAGCUAUACAUGGGCGGCGACCGGCAAACGGGAGCGGAACUCGUACGCAAUCUACCCUUAACUGAUGAAUAGCCCUCCGAAAGGAGGAUUAAUAGAUCGUAACUUAAUGAAGUGGCAUCAGUUUAUUAAUAUAGGUCCGGCGGUUUUGGAAGAGCGUGCGCCUGAUUAGGUAGUUGGCGGGGUAACGGCCCGCCAAGCCUGCGAUCAGUAACUGGUGUGAGAGCACGACCAGAGACACGGGCACUGAGACACGGGCCCGACUCCUUCGGGAGGCAGCAGUAAGGAAUAUUGGUGAAUGGACGCAAGUAUGAACCCGCCACGCCGCGUGAAGGAUGAAGGUCCUCUGGUUUGUAAACUUCUUUUAUAUGGGAGGAAACCUCUUAUUCUUAAGAGACUGACGGUACCAUAGGAAUUGGCACCGGCUAACUCCGUGCCAGCAGCCGCGGUAAUACGGAGGGUGGAAGCGUUAUCCGGAUUCACUGGGUUUAAAGGGAGCGUUGGAGGGCAGGUAAGUCAGUGGAGAAAUCUUCGAGCUUAAGUCGGAAACUGCCGUUGAUACUAUCUGUCUUGAAUACCGUGGUGAUGAGCGGAAUAUGUCAUGUAGCGGUGAAAUGGUUAGACAUGACAUAGAACCCCAAUUGCGAAGGCAGCUCGUUACACGAAUAUUGAUUCUGAGGCUGGAAAGCGUGGGGAUCAAACAGGAUUAGAUACCCUGGUAGUCCACCCCCUAAACGAUGGAUACUCGACAUACGCGAUAACACUGUGUGUGUCUGUGCGAAAGCAUUAAGUAUCCCACCUGGGAAGAACGACCGCAAGGUUGAAAGACAAAGGAAUUGGCGGGGGUCCGCACAAGCGGUGGAGCUUGUGGUUUAAUUCGAUGAUACGCGUGGAACCUUACCUGGGCUAGAAUGCAGUCUGGCCGUGGGUGAAAGCUCAUUUUGUAGCAAAACACAGAUUGUAAGGUGCUGCAUGGCUGUCGUCAGCACGUGCCGUGAGGUGUUGGGUUAAGUCCCGCAACGAGCGGAACCCCCAUCAGUAGUUGCCAACAGGUAACGCUGGGAACUCUACUGAAACUGCCGUCGAAAGACGCGAGGAAGGAGGGCAUGAUGUCAAGUCAUCAAGGCCUUUAUGCCCAGGGCUACACACGUGCUACAAUGGGGCGUCCAAAGGGCUGCCACUUAGCGAUAAGGAGCCAAACCCAAAAAACGCCUCUCUGUUCAGAUUGGAGUCUGCAACUCGACUCCAAGAAGCUGGAAUCGCUAGUAAUCGUAUAUCAGCAAUGAUACGGUGAAUACGUUCCCGGUCCUUGCACACACCGCCCGACAAGCCAUGGAA